GAGGGUAUAGCUCAGCGGUAGAGCGCGUGCUUAUUAGCACGCAUGAGGUCCUGGGUUCAAUCCCCAGUGCCUCUG